rnacentral:rRNA from 1 species
ACGUAGGGGGCGAGCGUUGUCCGGAAUUACUGGGCGUAAAGGGAGCGUAGGCGGUCUGAUAAGUUGGAUGUGAAAUACCCGGGCUUAACUUGGGGGGUGCAUCCAAUACUGUUGGACUAGAGUACAGGAGAGGAAAGCGGAAUUCCUAGUGUAGCGGUGAAAUGCAUAGAUAUUAGGAGGAACAUCGGUGGCGAAGGCGGCUUUCUGGACUGCAACUGACGCUGAGGCUCGAAAGCGUGGGGAGCAAACAG